AGCCAGCUGAUGAGUACCAAAUAGGACUAAAUGCGCAUCAUGGAU
rfam:Trichobilharzia regenti genome assembly, scaffold: TRE_scaffold0000068